rnacentral:piRNA from 1 species
UGCCAAGGAUUGCUAUGCCAAAUUUCAAAG